CGAGGCGGGAGCGACGGACUGGGGUUCCCCGGCCUAUUGCGCUGGGCGGCACCCCAGCGGUAGGCGACCCGCUGCGAGAAAGGUUCUGUGAAAGUUGGAGGCAUUGGAGAACCGUAGCCUCGUGAAGGCAACACCUGUCUUUGGAAAACACAAUUUGCUGAGGUGAACAGAUUGAGAGACGUGAACUCAAAAAAAAAUGGAUGGCAAACCAGCCUUAUUUAUCUAAGACGAUUCACAGGAGGAUCUGAAAGCGUAUUACAACUGGGAAGCAGCGCGCUGGGUGGAGGCAGACAGGACCAGGCAUGGUGCUGUGGUUUUGCCGCUGAGAUCUUGCCAGCGUUCUGAGCCAAAAUACAGGGAAGCCUCUCCCUGCAUCAUCCCACAGAGCAAAACCAGCAGGACAUCCAGUGCUCUGGCAUCACCCUCCUCCACACCUCAGCCAAAGCCCCCUCUACCUGGAUGGCCCGACGUCUCCCGUGACUCCACGACUCCUGGUGGCUUCUUGUGUGAUUACUAAGCUUUAGGUAACUUCAGAGGAAUGAAGAAAGCACAGAAUUUCUCAAC